UUGCACUGAUUUCAACAAUGAAGCGAGUGGCGAACUGGUGAGUAACACGUGGGAAAUCUGCCCAGAAGCAGGGGAUAACACUUGGAAACAGGUGCUAAUACCGUAUAACAACAAAAUCCGCAUGGAUUUUGUUUGAAAGGUGGCUUCGGCUAUCACUUCUGGAUGAUCCCGCGGCGUAUUAGUUAGUUGGUGAGGUAAAGGCCCACCAAGACGAUGAUACGUAGCCCGACCUGAGGAGGGUAAUCGGCCACAGUUGGGACUGAGACACCGGACCCAAACUCC
rnacentral:rRNA from 1 species